GCCCGGGUGGCGGAAUUGGCAGACGCGCCAGGUUGAGGGCCUGGUGAGGGUUACACCUCGUGCUGGUUCGAAUCCAGUUCCGGGCA
rnacentral:tRNA from 1 species